CCUCGCCUUUGCUGUCAAGGUCCUUGUGGCUGAAUUAAUUUCUUCGAAUUUCGACCCCGUCAACUUAGAGAAUAAGCAUUCACCCAGCAUUUUCCAGCAACUUCUUCAUUUGGGUUCAUUCUAACUAUCUGAUGCACCUACCUUGCAACAUGGCUUAAUAUUGUUAGAUCAUCGGCUUGAAGCAAAAAUAAUUUAACAGAGCAUAAUAUAUGCAAAUUGAGCUAAUUAGAAUUCAACUGGUCAGAAAUUAAUCAAGAAUUUAAAUAAUUUAGUUGAAUAAGUUAAGCUCAAAAUUGAACUUAACAGUGGCCCACAACCUAAACUCAAUUUUCAAUAAAAUAAAAAAAACUCUAGCCCUAACACCUCUCUUGCGCUGCAGCCUCCUUCAUGUGCGCCCUCGGCGUGCACGACGCCCGAUGACGACUCUUUCACCUAGGUUGCACCGAA
rnacentral:lncRNA from 1 species